CGCGGGGUGGAGCAGUGGCAGCUCGCAAGGCUCAUAACCUUGAGGUCGGCGGUUCGAAUCCGUCCCCCGCAACCA
rnacentral:tRNA from 1 species